CUACGGGUGGCUCCAGUGAGGAAUAUUGCACAAUGGAGGAAACUCUGAUGCAGCAACGCCGCGUGGAGGAUGACGCAUUUCGGUGUGUAAACUCCUUUUAUAUGUCAAGAAAAUGACGGUAGCAUAUGAAUAAGCACCGGCUAACUCCGUGCCAGCAGCCGAGGUAAUACGGAGGGUGCAAGCGUUACUCGGAAUCACUGGGCGUAAAGGACGCGUAGGCGGGAUAUCAAGUCAGGUGUGAAAUCCUACAGCUUAACUGUAGAACUGCACUUGAAACUGGUAACCUAGAGUAUGGGAGGGGGAGAUGGAAUUAGUGGUGUAGGGGUAAAAUCCGUAGAUAUCACUAGGAAUACCUAAAGCGAAGGCGAUCUCCUGGAACAUAACUGACGCUAAGGCGUGAAAGCGUGGGGAGCAAACAGGAUUAGAUACCCUCGUAGUC
rnacentral:rRNA from 1 species